rnacentral:misc_RNA from 1 species
AAGUCGUAACAAGGUUUCCGUAGGUGAACCUGCGGAAGGAUCAUUAACACGUAUCCAAACGUUAAAACAACCCUGUGAAUAUUAACGCGUGUUCUUGCUUGACACCAAAACAGCAAUCUCUCGUAAAACAGGCGCUAAAGAAUUACAGAUAUUGAUUUGAGAGAAUUCUGUCAGUCGGUGGACGUUGCAAUUGAGCACUAGAUAAAGCACCCUGGUACCUUCUGAUCUAUCACCAAUGUCUGAAAGUGUCAAGUGAUGGUCAGGGUAACGCAGUCAACGAUCGCUUAGGUCCUCACGACCGUACCCUCCGGGACUGGCGAAAGCUGACUCCGUCAUAAAUCGAACAAUGGAUAUCUUGGUUCUC